GGGAAGGUGGCUCAGUGGUAAGAGUGCUUGCCUUGCAUGCACGAGGCCCUGAGUUUAAUUCCUCAGCUCCA
rnacentral:tRNA from 1 species